rnacentral:ncRNA from 2 species
AUCUUAUCAAGAGUGGCGGAGGGACUGGCCCUGUGAAGCCCAGCAACCGAAAUAGUGGUUCAUUUACCAAUAUAUUAUACGGUGCUAAUUCCUGCAGCUUUUUUUUAGCUGGUAGAUGAGAG